GAUGAACGCUGACAGAAUGCUUAACACAUGCAAGUCUACUUGAAUUUGGGUUUUUUAACUUCGAUUUGGGUGGCGGACGGGUGAGUAACGCGUAAAGAACUUGCCUCACAGCUAGGGACAACAUUUGGAAACGAAUGCUAAUACCUGAUAUUAUGAUUAUAGGGCAUCCUAGAAUUAUGAAAGCUAUAUGCGCUGUGAGAGAGCUUUGCGUCCCAUUAGCUAGUUGGAGAGGUAACGGCUCACCAAGGCGAUGAUGGGUAGCCGGCCUGAGAGGGUGAACGGCCACAAGGGGACUGAGACACGGCCCUUACUCCUACGGGAGGCAGCAGUGGGGAAUAUUGGACAAUGGACCGAGAGUCUGAUCCAGCAAUUCUGUGUGCACGAUGACGUUUUUCGGAAUGUAAAGUGCUUUCAGUUGGGAAGAAAAAAAUGACGGUACCAACAGAAGAAGUGACGGCUAAAUACGUGCCAGCAGCCGCGGUAAUACGUAUGUCACGAGCGUUAUCCGGAUUUAUUGGGCGUAAAGCGCGUCUAGGUGGUUAUGUAAGUCUGAUGUGAAAAUGCAGGGCUCAACUCUGUAUUGCGUUGGAAACUGUGUAACUAGAGUACUGGAGAGGUAAGCGGAACUACAAGUGUAGAGGUGAAAUUCGUAGAUAUUUGUAGGGAAUGCCGAUGGGGAAGCCAGCUUACUGGACAGAUACUGACGCUGAAGCGCGAAAGCGUGGGUAGCAAACAGG
rnacentral:rRNA from 1 species